GAUGAACGCUGACGGAAUGCUUAACACAUCAGCGACUGAUUGGUGUCGGACGGGUGAGGAACGCGUAAAGAACUUGCCUCGCAUGUAGUAACAACAUUUGGAAACGAAUGCUUAUACCUAGUACUGUGAGAGAGCUUGGCUUACCGUUAGCUAGUUGGACAGUGAACGGCUCACCAAGGCGAUGAUGGGUAGCCGGACUGAGAGGGUGAUAGGCCACAAGGGGACACAGUCACGGCCCUUACGCCUACGGGAGGAAGCAGUGGGGAACAUUCGAAACAGGGCCAAAGUCUGAUCCAGCUAUUCUGUGUGUAAGAUGAUGUUUUAGGAAUGUAAAGUGCCGUUAGUUGGGAAGCGGUACCAACAGAAGAAGUGACGGCUAAAUACGUGCCAGCAGCCGCGGUAAUAC
rnacentral:rRNA from 1 species